rnacentral:rRNA from 1 species
CCUACGGGGGGCAGCAGUGAGGAAUAUUGGUCAAUGGACGAGAGUCUGAACCAGCCAAGUAGCGUGAAGGAUGACUGCCCUAUGGGUUGUAAACUUCUUUUAUAAAGGAAUAAAACGAGGCACGUGUGCCUUUUUGCAUGUACUUUAUGAAUAAGGAUCGGCUAACUCCGUGCCAGCAGCCGCGGUAAUACGGAGGAUCCGAGCGUUAUCCGGAUUUAUUGGGUUUAAAGGGAGCGUAGAUGGGUUGUUAAGUCAGUUGUGAAAGUUUGCGGCUCAACCGUAAAAUUGCAAUUGAUACUGGCAGUCUUGAGUACAGUUGAGGUAGGCGGAAUUCGUGGUGUAGCGGUGAAAGGCUUAGAUAUCACGAAGAACCCCGAUUGCGAAGGCAGCUUACUAAACUGUGACUGACAUUGAUGCUCGAAAGUGUGGGUAUCAAACAGGAUUAGAUACCCCGGUAGUC